rnacentral:lncRNA from 1 species
GGGGCUGAAAAAGUUGACCUAGAGAUAUAUAUAAUUCCCACAGAAGCCGAGGCUGCGGGCGGAAGAGAACCGGCAGAUUGAAGGAGGCUACUUGGGGGACAUUGGGCUGAAUUGGAACAUUAUUUAUAGAAAACUGAAGCAACUGAAUUGCAUCAUAUAUACAAGCACAUAAAACAUAUUGGGAGGCUGGAAAUUAAGUGCUAAACAAGUAAAAUCAGCGGCUGUUUCUGGGGGUUGAAUUGAGUAUAGUAUAUGCACAGAAACACAGAAGUACGGAGAGAAAACGGCUGGAAUUGAGCUGCUAAAUUGGUGGGCUGCUUUGUUGAAUUAAAAAGAGUGCUGAAGAGAAUAAUAUAUAAUACAUGCACGGCCAGAAAGACGGCAAUUUGGAGAGUGCUGAAAUUUUGAUAUGUAUAUUAAUCACGUUUCGUCAAUUUUUGGUAAUAUCUUUUAUCCUUUUUUCGUUUAAUUUUAAUAUUAUGUUCGGCUAAAUUAUUUUGUGUUAGGAUUUGCGAUGAACCUUAUAUUAUAAACCUUUAAUCUCGAAUCUUAUUUUGACGUUAAAACACGUUUUUAAUUAUUAUAUGAUUGACAUGAGUUUUAUUUUCUCUACAAUUAUAUGCUUAAUAGGUGCAUGAGACUUGUGGCUUGUUUUACACUCGAGAGAUGGAAAAUAAGUUAGACAUUAUGUUAAUUAUCGUAAAGUCUGAUAGAAGAUAUAAUUAUAUUGCUAUAUUUUACGUGAUCCUUAAGUAUUCAUAAAUCUUUAAUACAUUUCUAUAUGUUUGCAUCCGUCAUAGAAAUAUAAUCGGUUCGCGUGUAAAAAUAAGUUUAAUUCUACUCAAGAGAGAUUGUUAAACAGAUUAGGAAUAUUGGUCAUAAUAAUUGAAUCGUGUUGUCAAUUUUAUAAAAUUCGGAUUAUAGAGGAUUGAUAUAAGGGAAUUCGGUAUCCUAGUACGCAUUUCUUUAUCAUAUUUUUAUAAAACUUGCAUUUGGUCAUAAUCACGCAUUAGUUUAGUUAACUUAAGUUUUAUAUUUAUAAGUAAGUUAUUAAAUCAUAAUUUAAUUAGCGAAAAAUCACGAUUUUCUAUUGUUUCGGUUAAGGCGAAGAUCAUUUAAAUUUAAACUAAUACAAUCAAUGUGAGACGAUACUUGGACUCAAAAGGUCCACUUUAUUACUCGAACGCGCCCCGUACACUAUCGGUGUAGGAUUUUAGCGAACAAGUACUAAUCUUAUCCGCUCAGUAUCUCAUUGCAGGACUUGAGAUUUUCGACCUUCGUAACUCUCUUGGGUUUAGGUUGGUGGCAUGAGCUCGAAAUCAACAAUUUCGCUCUCCUCCUUGCUGACUAUAGGUUUGUGUUUGGACUUCAAUUUGAUCAACUUGCAACUUCUCUAUGCCACACGGACUUAGUAAGUCCUAACAACUUCAAAUUGGAGGGUUAAAUGUGAGACAUGAAAGAAUCAAACUAAUUGUUUUCACAAUCGUAAUUACACAUCAAAUACAAAUAAAUAGCAAAUACAAGAAAAAUCCCAAUUGGGAUUAGAAUGCUGACCAAAACAUUGAAAUGCACAGAUUAUAAAAUACAACCAAGACUGACCAAACUUAUUUACCAUAUCUCUAUUUCAUCUUCCGUUGAAUACUGUAGUUGCUCCUAAAUUUAUGUUUGGUGCUGAUCCGCAAUACUCUUAUCCACUUGAAAUGCCUUGGCAAGGAUAUCACUGCCAAUAUUCGGCUUCGAACUAAAAACUGUAUUUGCAAUGGUAGAUUUUGACUGCUCAAUGCUGUAAUGACGACCUUCAAUAUACAUUUAUUCACUGCGAAAUGCCAUUGAUCUCUAAGACUAACCCAUUGAUAUAUUGCACGAGCCACUUUUUCUAUUUUCAAUACCUGAGCUAGUAGGAUCAGCAACACAGAAAUCUUGCAACGGUUUAGGCUCAAAUGCAAAGGCUAGACGAAUAAAGCAACCCGUCUAGCCAUUUCGAAUUAAUUAAUCAAACGAAAAGUAACGUAAGAAAGGAAUACUGGGCUGUCUUUUACUAGAAAUGAAUCUUGCUGCUGCUAAGCUACUAAUUUAUAGAGGCUCCUCACAUUAUAUUCUAACUAUGAAUUGCCGUCCUAGCAAAAGAAUCUAUAAUCUUCCUAAUGAUACGAAAAGCUUUAAAAUCUGCAGAAUAGCUCUGAAUUUAGAGGAGAUAAUCAGUAAGAAAUGGUCAAAGAGGACGUCUAACGCGAGUUUAACACUAUAUUUCUUGCUGACAGAUGUAUUUUUACUGCUGCCACUGAAGAAUUAUAAACUACUUUUAUAUCUGUCUACAGGCUAUCACCAUACCUAGAAAUGAGCAACUUAUUAGGAAAACCACCUCUACGAGGUCACAGAUUAGAGAAAGAGAAGUAACGGUCAGAGUCAAAAAAAGUAUUUUCCAUUUCUUUUUCUUUUUUCAAAGCUAAAAUGAAAAAACAAAUCCAAAUUAAGUUGAAAUUUUGUCUUACAAAUCCCAGAAAAGUAUAUCCAAUCUUUUGAAAGUGUAAAAUGAAAGGGAAAAAAUGCAAAUUUUUUUUUUUUUUUUUAAUGAAGCAUACUGAGGAAAUUUUGGAAACACUUGAAGAGAAAUAAAAAACAUAUUUUGGGUUUCACCCUGGAAUGAUAGUCAUAGAGGUUUUGAAAUUCUAUUGGUCGUCACUUCACUUGUGAGUUUAUUGUAUGUUGGUCAUUUAAUUUUAAUUCGUUUCAUUUUGAUACUCAAUCUAUAUUUUUGUUAUGAUUUGAUGCAUAACCCAAUGCAAGAGGCAGGGGGUUCGAAUCCCCACAUCUCCACUUUUAACAACAUUUAUUCAGUACAGUACUUUAGGAAAGUCAAGAUCUUUAUUGGCCUAUCCUAUACAUGGAGAGCAGUCAGGGUUUAGAAAUCUCUCUUAAAUUUCAACUAUAAUUUUUUUGUUGUUGAAGUGUUCAUGUUUAUGUCCCUGUUUGUUUUCCUUUUUUAUUGAGAAUGCAUUUUGAUAUAGUGAAUUGAUGAAAAAUGCGUGGUUAAGAAAUAAGAAAAAGAUUUACUUUUAUGUAUAAUAUUAUUUUAUUUAAGAAUGUCUAGUGGAAAAAAAAAUGUAUUUUGAAAAAAAUGGAUAUCAAACAAUAGCGAGUUAAUUGUUUCAACACUCAUUGAACCUUACAAAGUGUCAUGUUUCACUCAACAAAAUUUAUUAUGCACCCCAUCUCUCACUCAACUUUGUAACAUUGCACUCCAUCACUCACCUAGCUAACUCCGUCCAUAGCGUUCGCCUAUGUGGAAGACCGCUUCGACACUUGACAGUUAAAUUACUCCAACUCAACAUAGUAGUGCCAUGUCAUUAAUCCCCAAACACCCCAAACACGCCUCACCCUUUAGAGAAAGCGUGAGAUGAUGGAAUCAAAUGAAAUAUAUAAAUAGAAGAAUGAGAUCCAUCCCGAAAAUUUGGAAUUCCCAAAAUGUGAAACCCUAACCUCAAAUCAAAAUUGAAGGGCCAACGAGGUGAUUCUUGAAACUUCUCGAAAUAGAAGUAAUGUUGAAUUUUUCCCCCCUGUUUUUCGGUAGUGUCUUUAUUGCUAUUAUUCGAAGUACAAGGUUUUUGAAAUCGUUGGCAUCGUUGCUGCUGAAAGAGAUUGGUGGUGUGCUAUAGUUUGAAAAUAUUUGCCAACUGUAAAAUGUAACUAGUAGCAAGAGUUUUGAUUCUUGAAAUAGCCUCUUACCCCUUUCUCUGAACUUGUUCAAUUCUUUUUACAUUUGUUUUGAUCAAAACUUUAUGCUUGUGUUUAGGAAAGAAUAAAGGG